UCUGUCUAUAAAGCAAAGAGCCUCAUAGUCCUGGCUUCAGAGUUGUUCCUUUUUUUUAAAGAGUUGUUCCUUAACCAUAAUUGAGUGUCAUGUUUAUUUUUAGUGCAGCAGUUUGUAACUAGAACAGUGGAUUAAAAAUGUUUUAGUGGUAGACAACUCUUUUUCAAAGGAAAUCUUAGGCAGAAUCUUGACUCAGGAAAUGGCUUUUAACAGAGUUUACUGGACAAUCGUAUCUUCAUCUGAUGGAAAAUAUUUCAUGGGAAACUCCUGCAAACUGUCUUGGCUGUCCUAGGUCCUAGUCUUCAGACUGCCAAGGUGCACAGUCUGAAGAUCACCAAGUGAAUUAACUAGAUUGACCUGAGGACUGUUCAUCUCUUAACCUUGUCAAACAUUAAGGUGCUAGGUGGGGGAAAGGAAGAAGGAAAAGAACAGGAGAGGGAAUAAGGGUGAGUGUCUGGUCUCAACCUCAAGGACCUAGGCUGGAGGACAUAUUUUAGAGGCCACAGUCUGUAUCACACAGUCUAGAAGACACAGGCUUGAGGACACAUAAAACAACUGGAAAGAUACCCAUAACUAUUCUGGUGUUUUAUUUGCAGCCCUAGAUUCUCACAGCAGACAAUGCUGUCAAGGAAAAGCCCAGCCUUGUACCAAGUUAUCAAUAUCAGCCGCGACCGGGUGAGGGGAGCCAUCCGUCCUCACAGAGACAUUAGCACGUCUUGAAUCGCCCCUGGAGCCUCUAUUUGAAAGGUGCAUCCAUCUGCAUGCAGCACCGAUGACACUGGCCUUGAUGUGAACAGCAGAGAACUUCAUUUUGCUCGUUCCUGUUAAGACGUGGGCGUCACUUUGUCGCUGGGGUGGCAGCCUCCUGUUCAAAGCAACCUGUACAAGUCAGUCAAAGGGGCAGGCAGGUUCUUUACCACUAGCACCACCUGGCAAGCCCUCUCACAAAAUGAUAUACAAGUAUCCUGUGAGUAUAAACUCUCCUCUGAAAUGGAAGAAUGAGGCCAUUGGAUUAGCUGAUUUCCUUAGAUCCUGAUUUUUGAUUCAUCACUGUAGGAUUCUGACAAUAAGUGCUUGGAGGUCAGAGUUUUAUCGUCUAAACAGGUUUUAUUCUCUUCUUCUUAUUGCAUUUACAUCAGAAAGCAAUGCAGAGAAGCAAGUUAUAUGGAAUUAAAGUUGGCUUGCAAUCAUAGCUAAGUUCUAUUAUCUGCAUCUUGCAUGCAGGAUGUAUUAUGUCAAAAUAUUGACCAGUGAACAUACAGAGUGGUACUGAAGUUUCUUUACUUAUGAACAGGUUAGAUUUAUAAUGUUAUUCUUUUGUUA
ensembl:lncRNA